UACGGAGGGAGCUAGCGUUGUUCGGAAUUACUGGGCGUAAAGCGCGCGUAGGCGGCUUUGUAAGUUAGAGGUGAAAGCCCGGGGCUCAACCCCGGAACAGCCUUUAAGACUGCAUCGCUAGAAUCCGGGAGAGGUGAGUGGAAUUCCGAGUGUAGAGGUGAAAUUCGUAGAUAUUCGGAAGAACACCAGUGGCGAAGGCGGCUCACUGGCCCGGUACUGACGCUGAGAUACGAAAGCGUGGGGAGCAAACAGG
rnacentral:rRNA from 1 species